rnacentral:rRNA from 1 species
AGCGAACGCUGGCGGCAGGCCUAACACAUGCAAGUCGAACGGAUCCUUCGGGAUUAGUGGCGGACGGGUGAGUAACACGUGGGAACGUGCCCUUUGGUUCGGAACAACUCAGGGAAACUUGAGCUAAUACCGGAUGUGCCCUUCGGGGGAAAGAUUUAUCGCCAUUGGAGCGGCCCGCGUCUGAUUAGCUAGUUGGUGAGGUAACGGCCCACCAAGGCGACGAUCAGUAGCUGGUCUGAGAGGAUGAUCAGCCACACUGGGACUGAGACACGGCCCAGACUCCUACGGGAGGCAGCAGUGGGGAGUCUUGCGCAAUGGGCGAAAGCCUGACGCAGCCAUGCCGCGUGAAUGAUGAAGGUCUUAGGAUUGUAAAAUUCUUUCAGCGGGGACGAUAAUGACGGUACCCGCAGAAGAAGCUCCGGCUAACUUCGUG